rnacentral:rRNA from 1 species
GAUGAACGCUGGCGGCGUGCCUAAUACAUGCAAGUCGAGCGAACAGGCGAGGAGCUUGCUCCUCUGACGUUAGCGGCGGACGGGUGAGUAACACGUGGAUAACCUACCUAUAAGACUGGGAUAACUUCGGGAAACCGGAGCUAAUACCGGAUAAUAUAUUGAACCGCAUGGUUCAAUAGUGAAAGACGGUUUUGCUGUCACUUAUAGAUGGAUCCGCGCCGCAUUAGCUAGUUGGUAAGGUAACGGCUUACCAAGGCAACGAUGCGUAGCCGACCUGAGAGGGUGAUCGGCCACACUGGAACUGAGACACGGUCCAGACUCCUACGGGAGGCAGCAGUAGGGAAUCUUCCGCAAUGGGCGAAAGCCUGACGGAGCAACGCCGCGUGAGUGAUGAAGGUCUUCGGAUCGUAAAACUCUGUUAUUAGGGAAGAACAAAUGUGUAAGUAACUAUGCACGUCCUGACGGUACCUAAUCAGAAAGCCACGGCUAACUACGUG